rnacentral:rRNA from 1 species
AACCUGGUUGAUCCUGCCAGUAGUCAUACGCUCGUCUCAAAGAUUAAGCCAUGCAUGUGUAAGUUCAAUGAUUUGACCAAAAAACUGCGAAUGGCUCAUUAUAUCAGUCACAGUUUAUUUGAUAGUCCCUCACUACUUGGAUACCCGUAGUAAUUCUAGAGCUAAUACAUGCGUAAACACUCGACCUUUGGAAGAGUGGUAUUUAUUAGAUUGAAGCCAACCCGUUUCGGCGGUGUCCUGGUGAUUCAUAAUAACUUUUCGGAUUGCAUUGCAACAUUUCAUUCAAGUUUCUGCCCUAUCAGCUUUGACGGUAGUG